GUCAGCUGCCGGCGAGGUUCACCGUUUCUUUGAGAGAUGGGAGGUGGAUGUGAAUGGAUGUUGGUUCCCAUGUAAGAGAGGCCCCAGUAGCACUGUCCUGUCCACCUGUGGAAGAGAACUUUCAGUUUGUGGAGGUCGCGUGAUACGAAAGGUUGGUUGAUGACUCCCAUCAGAGGCACCCCUGUCUGUAUGUCGUAGACACCAAUUAGAAUGGUGACACACUGAAGGCCACUGGGGAAGAUUCCGUGGUUGGAUUCAGUGUCAGCAGAACCCUUUAUAUACUGAAGAACCUUCGCCCCAGCUGAUCCUCAGCCCUACUGCAAACCAUCUUUGCUGGACAGUAAAAGCACAUCCAUCCUCUUCUACUGAUGCCUCACAGGCUGUCAAGACAUCAGUGGUGAGGGAGGGCCUCAGCUCGUGCCCAAUUUCUAAUUCCUCUUGUAUUAGUUCCUAGAACUGCCAUAACAAAAUACCACCAACUGGGUAGCUUAAACAGCAGAAAUUUAAGUCCCACAGAUCGGGAGGCCAGAAGUUCAGGACCAAGGUGUGGGCAGGUUUGGUUUCUCCUGAAGCCUCCCUCGUUGGCUUGCAGAUGGUCACCUUCCUUUUUGCCCUUCACACCCCUGUGUACCUCCCUCUUCUUAUAAACACACCAGUCAGGUUGGAUUAGGGCUCUAUCAUGUGGCUGCUUUUAACCUUAACUACUUCCUUAAAGGCUCAUCUCCAAAUACAGUCACAUUCUCAAGUGUUGGGGGAUAGGCUUUCACCAUACAAAUUCUAGGGAAUGCACUUCUCCUAACAGAGAGACCUUGAUAAUCUUCGCAAAUCCUAACACAACCUACUCCUUUGCAUUUUUUCCAGUGAAACAGUAAAAAUGGGGUAGGGCUCUCUUUCCCACUCACAUGGUCAGUAAGUUUAACUGUGUGAGGCAAUCUUUCCCACAUGGAAUUAUUUAACAGCCAAAUCAUUAAAGGUGCCAUGAACAUUGAAAUAAGCUCUCAUAAGCCUUACUUUGUAGCAAUGUAUUCCAAAUCACAGUUGAGCAGAAUAGGUUUAAAGAAGUUAUAUUCCUCACUAUCUCGGACCAAAAUGUGUAUCUAUCACAAUGUCAGAUAUAAACAGUCUCUUUAGUGUUUGUGGGAUUUUCAUAUCCAGUUGGAGAAAUAUUGACUACAUUGAAGGAAGUCAGAUAAAAACGAGGAGGAAAGGCUCUUAAGACUUCCUGGAAGCCCAAAUCUCUCUACAAUGAUAAAACUAUUUUAAUUUCUGACCAUUUCAUCAUCUCAUCAGAACACCAGAAGGUUAAAAAUCACAUCUGAAUAAUUUACACAUACUUUAGAUGUGAUAAACAGUAGAGUGGGAAAGACAUAGGCUUUGGAAUCAGAUAAACCUGGGUUCAAAACCUGGCUCUGCCAUUGACUAGCUGUGCAGCAUCAGGUAAUUUACUUCCCCUCUCUGAGCCUCUUUCCUCAUCUGUAAUAGGAAGGCAGCACAGACCAUACAGAGACAUUAAGAAGAGCAAAUGAGGUAUUUCUGGAAAAGGAUCCAGCACACAGCCUUGCAUGUAGCAGAUAACAAGUAACACACAUGACUAUUAAACACAACUUCACAGAAACCCGAGUUACAUGUUUUUAUUUGAGAAAACAAGAGGCAACAACUUUAUACGGGUCACUGAAAUCUUUUCUGAAUAUUUACUAGUCCAUUAAAUCCAAAAGGCUGGGACCUAAUUGUGAUUCUCGGAACAACCCAGAAUAAAGUUCCUUUAUGCCGGCCAGAUCUGAUUACUUCAGUUUCUGGGCGUCUGGAUGGAAACUUGGCUCCUGGAAGCUGCAAGACUACUCUAGCUUCAUGGUAGGCCACCUGUGGAUGGCUCUGGAAGGUCGUUAUGUCGUUAAGGGGAUAUUUUGUCAAGAAAUUUUGUGGAGAUUCUAGGGCCAGAGGUGUUGGGUGAAGAGCCUGGUUGUGCCAGAAGCUAGCUGUGCCCUUUUGUUGCUCACAGUGACAGAAGCGCGACGGCACAGAUAAGCGCCCUCAACAAACUAGGGCUGCUCUCUAAUGAACAGGCAAGUGGGUCAAAGCAUUUCCGUUCACAUUCCCUUCUUCCUGAAGAUAAUCCACUGCUUCUACAGAGCCCACAUUUUUGCCCCUUAAACAGUGACUCCACUUACCCUCCACCCUCCCACCCCCUCACUAUUCAUUCACAUCCUGAAUCCAGUCUUCCACUCAUUCUCUAAGGCAGGGGUGUCAAACUCAU